GAGCCACUGUGGGCACAGCCGUCUGAAAGAAGUAGAGCUGAGAGAUACAGAGAUGAUGAGUAGAAACAAACUCCAGUACGCCACCUAAUCUGCCUGCAGCUAAGGCUUAGAGCACAGUGCGGCUGGCAGACUUGCAGCAGCCUGUUUGACCAGAGGUGUCACUGUUGAGCCCUGAGGCAGGGGUUACCACCUGCUUUUGGCGGUGCUACAGCCGGUCUGGCGUCCCUCGCCCAGUUCAGCACUGGCACGGACCAGAUUUGGACCAGAUUCUGAAGGCUCCCAGGGCCCAAACCUCACAGCCAAUGGCCAGUAGAGCAUGCAGCAGGACGAUGGCUGCCACGGCGACUGCCACGGCCACCUUCC